rnacentral:lncRNA from 1 species
AAAGUCCGGUUUGUCCUGUAUGCAACUGACUUUUCGGGCCCACAGCUUUCAGCCGACUAAGCCCUGUCCAAUCCUCAUUAAAUGCAACGCAGAGAUGACAGUCAAAGUUCUAUCCCCAAUCUACACCGGUCAAAGCCCAAGUGGAACCAUACUCAUCUAGUAAUUCGGCCCACUGCAUCCUGAUCAAUAGGGCAAGAAUAAUCAUAACCCCAGGGAGGAGCCCAUUAAGUCUGGCCCAAUAAGGAAAAGGAUCAUGGCCCAACAUUGCCCCUCAGUCUUUUAUUAAACAGGAGGUUUAAUGAAAGAGUAUAAGUGGAAUCGGUCCAGAAUAAAAGGAAUUAUAAUGAGAUCAACAAAGGCCCAAGA